GAUGAACGCUGGCGGCGUGCUUAACACAUGCAAGUCGAACGGAAAGGCUCCUGCUUGCAGGGGUACUCGAGUGGCGAACGGGUGAGUAACACGUGGGUGAUCUGCCCUGCACUUCGGGAUAAGCCUGGGAAACUGGGUCUAAUACCGGAUAGGACGAUGGUUUGGAUGCCAUUGUGGAAAGUUUUUUCGGUGUGGGAUGAGCUCGCGGCCUAUCAGCUUGUUGGUGGGGUAAUGGCCUACCAAGGCGUCGACGGGUAGCCGGCCUGAGAGGGUGUACGGCCACAUUGGGACUGAGAUACGGCCCAGACUCCUACGGGAGGCAGCAGUGGGGAAUAUUGCACAAUGGGCGCAAGCCUGAUGCAGCGAUGCCGCGUGGGGGAUGACGGCCUUCGGGUUGUAAACUCCUUUCGCUAGGGACGAAGCGCAAGUGACGGUACCUGGAGAAGAAGCACCGGCUAACUACGUG
rnacentral:rRNA from 1 species